GAUGAACGCUAGCGGCAGGCCUAACACAUGCAAGUCGAGGGGCAGCAUUUCCAGCUUGCUGGAAGAUGGCGACCGGCGCACGGGUGCGCAACGCGUAUGGAACCUGCCCUCUGCAGGGGAAUAGCCCAUGGAAACGUGGAUUAAUGCCCCAUAGUACCGUUGACCGGCAUUGGUCUUCGGUUAAAGCCUUCGGGCGGCAGGGGAUGGCCAUGCGUACCAUUAGCUAGUUGGUAAGGUAACGGCUUACCAAGGCCACGAUGGUUAGGGGCCCUGAGAGGGGGAUCCCCCACACUGGUACUGAGACACGGACCAGACUCCUACGGGAGGCAGCAGUGAGGAAUAUUGGACAAUGGGCGAGAGCCUG
rnacentral:rRNA from 1 species